rnacentral:rRNA from 1 species
CAAAGAUUUAGCCAUGCAUGUGUAGGUAUAACCUGUAUACCGGUAAACUGCGAAUGGCUCGGUAAAUUAGUUAUAGUUUAUUUGAUAGUGCAUCCUACUCGGAUAACCGUAUUAACACUAGAGCUAAUACGUGCGUAAAUCCCGACUUUUGGAAGGGACGUAUUUAUUAGAUUUAUGGCCAGCCGGGCUUGCCCGACCAGCGGUGAAUCAUGGUAACUUGACGGAUUGCAUGGCCUCCGUGCCGGCGACGUGUCAUUCAAGUUUCUGCCCCAUCAGGUUUCGACUGUAGUGUAUUGGACUACAGUGCCUAUAACGGGUAGCGGAGGAUUAGGGUUCGAUUCCGGAGAGGGAGCCUGAGAAACGGCUACCACAUCCAAGGAAGGCAGCAGGCGCGCAAAUUACCCAAUCCCAACUCAGGGAGGUAGUGACAAGAAAUAGCAAUGCGGGGCUUCUUGCUCUGCAAUUGGAAUGAGAACAAUUUAAAUCACUUAACGAGUAUCAAUUGGAGGGCAAGUCUGGUGCCAGCAGCCGCGGUAAUUCCAGCUCCAAUAGCGUAUAUGUAAGUUGUUGCGAUUAAAAAGCCCGUAGCUGAACCUCGGGCAACCCUGACGGUCCGCGUUUCGUGAGUACUGUCGUGGGUUGUCUUUCUGGCAAGACCGUAUCUCGGUGUUAACUCGCCGGGAACGGCGCUUGCCAAGGUUACUUUGAGUAAAAUAGAGUGUUCAAAGCAAGCUCGCGCUCUGAAUACACUAGCAUGGGAUAACACGACAUGACCGAUGGUCUAUCUUGUUGGCCUGUAGACCUGUUGGUAAUGGCUAAUAGGGACGGUCGGGGGCAUUCGUAUUUCGCUGUCAGAGGUGAAAUUCUUGGAUUUGCGAAAGACGAACUACUGCGAAAGCAUUUGCCAAGGACGCUUUCAUUAGUCAAGGACGAAAGUCGGGGGAUCGAAGACGAUUAGAUACCGUCGUAGUCUCGACCAUAAACGAUGCCAAUUAGGGAUUGGAGGGCGGAUCCAAUAUGCCUCCUCCAGCACCUCCGCGAAA